ensembl:snRNA U6 U6 spliceosomal RNA
GUGCUUGCUUUGGCAGUACCUAUACUAAUUUCAGAACAAUACAGAGAAGAUUAACAUGGCCCCUGCACAAGAAUGAUAUGCAAAUUUGUGAAGACUUUCAUAUUUGG